ensembl:snRNA U6 U6 spliceosomal RNA
GUACUCACAGAGGUAACACAUAUACUAAAAUUGCAGCGAUGCAGAGAUGAUUAGCAUGGCUCCUGAGGAAAGAUGAUAAAAACUUUGGUAAAUGUCGUGUAUUU